rnacentral:tRNA from 1 species
GGCUAAACAAUAACAGAAGGUAAAAAUGGCAGUUCUCUGAUUCUCAACAAAGAACAGGCCGUGGGUUCGAUUCCCGCCGGCACCGCCA